GCGAUUAGAUAAGGGGAAAGAGAGCAUCGGGUCAGGACCCACGGAGUCUGACUGAAGAGAGGACUGCAAGGGGGCAAGCCGAGAUUUGCUCAGGGAUGAGAGGGGCUCCGGAGUAGCAUUUAUACAACCAUUAUUCCACAAGCUAUAGGGGUUGCCACUUACUUCUCCGUGGAAGAAACUGUACCAACAAAUGAAAGCCACGUGGGGAUGUGUUAGGGGCAGUACUGGCUCUGACUCCAGAAAUCUUGUCAGAAACCAGUGGACAAAUAUAUAGAAUAUGAUCCUGUUAUCAUCUUAAUUAAUGCU